CAGUCGCCACGGUAAUACGUAGGUGGCAAGCGUUGUCCGGAAUUAUUGGGCGUAAAGCGCGCGCAGGUGGUUUAAUAAGUCUGAUGUGAAAGCCCACGGCUCAACCGUGGAGGGUCAUUGGAAACUGUUAAACUUGAGUGCAGGAGAGAAAAGUGGAAUUCCUGGUGUAGCGGUGAAAUGCGUAGAGAUUAGGAGGAACACCAGUGGCGAAGGCGGCUUUUUGGCCUGUAACUGACACUGAGGCGCGAAAGCGUGGGGAGCAAACAGGAUUAGAGACCCCCGUAGUCCCUGUCUCUUAUAC
rnacentral:rRNA from 1 species